GAUGAACGCUGGCGGCGUGCCUAAUACACGCAAGUCGAGCGAAUGGAUUAAGAGCUUGCUCUUAUGAAGUUAGCGGCGGACGGGUGAGUAACACGUGGGUAACCUGCCCAUAAGACUGGGAUAACUCCGGGAAACCGGGGCUAAUACCGGAUAACAUUUUGAACCGCAUGGUUCGAAAUUGAAAGGCGGCUUCGGCUGUCACUUAUGGAUGGACCCGCGUCGCAUUAGCUAGUUGGUGAGGUAACGGCUCACCAAGGCAACGAUGCGUAGCCGACCUGGGAGGGUGAUCGGCCACACGGGGACUGAGAAACGGCCCAGACUACUACGGGAGGCAGCAGUAGGGAAUCUUCCGCAAUGGACGAAAAGCUGACGGAGCAACGCCGCGUGAGUGAUGAAGGCUUUCGGGUCGUAAAACUCUGUUGUUAGGGAAAAACAAGUGCUAGUUGAAUAAGCUGGCACCUUGACGGUACCUAACCAGAAAGCCACGGCUAACUACGUGCCAGCAGCCGCGGUAA
rnacentral:rRNA from 1 species